rnacentral:rRNA from 1 species
UAGGGAAUCUUCCGCAAUGGACGCAAGUCUGACGGAGCAACGCCGCGUGAGUGAAGAAGGAUUUCGGUUCGUAAAACUCUGUUGUUAGAGAAGAACAGCGCAUAGAGUAACUGUUAUGCGUGUGACGGUAUCUAACCAGAAAGCCACGGCUAACUACGUGCCAGCAGCCGCGGUAAUACGUAGGUCCCGAGCGUUGUCCGGAUUUAUUGGGCGUAAAGCGAGCGCAGGCGGUUAGAAAAGUCUGAAGUGAAAGGCAGUGGCUCAACCAUUGUAGGCUUUGGAAACUGUUUAACUUGAGUGCAGAAGGGGAGAGUGGAAUUCCAUGUGUAGCGGUGAAAUGCGUAGAUAUAUGGAGGAACACCGGUGGCGAAAGCGGCCCUCUGGUCUGUAACUGACGCUGAGGCUCGAAAGCGUGGGGAGCGAACAGG